AAACUGAGGCACAAGAUGAGAAAGAAGAUUUGAAUUAAUUAGAUAACUUGUAAAGUCCAUUCUAAGCCUCAGUUU